rnacentral:rRNA from 1 species
GACGGAGGAUGCAAGCGUUAUCCGGAAUUAUUGGGCGUAAAGCGUGCGCAGGUGGCAGUUCAAGUCUGCUGUCAAAGACCGGGGCUUAACUUCGGAAAGGCAGUGGAAACUGAACAGCUAGAGUAUGGUAGGGGCGGAGGGAAUUCCUGGUGUAGCGGUGAAAUGCGUAGAGAUCAGGAAGAACAUCGGUGGCGAAGGCGCUCUGCUGGACCAUAACUGACACUCAGGGACGAAAGCUAGGGGAGCGAAUGGG